rnacentral:RNase_P_RNA from 1 species
ACAGUAGGUCGGUUUGUCGCUUUCCGCUUGGCGGGAGGAGGAAAGUCCGGGCAACGCAGAGCGCCAUGCUUCCUAACUGGAAGUUGCCGGUAACGACAAAGUAACGUAACAGAAAAUAACCGCUCCGAUUUCGGUCGGAGCAAGGGUGAAAAGGUGAGGUAAGAGCUCACCGGUCCGAGUGGCGACACGCGGAGCCGUACGUCUUAUGGGUUGCAAGAUCAAGUAAACCGGCGCAGUAGGAUGGCUCGUCCGAUGCCGGAGGGUAGAUUGCUUAGAUUUCGUCAGCAAUGGCGAAACCAGAUAAAUGACAAACGUUCCGUUUUUACGGAAUACAGAACCCGGCUUAUAGACCUGCUGUAUUU